GAAGCCAUGAGGAGCAAGUCAGUAAGCAGCAUCCAUCCAUGGCUUCUGCUGCAGCCCCUGCCUCCAGGUUCAUGCCCUGAUCGAGUUUCUGUCCUAACUUCCUUCUAUGAAGAGCAGACUCUAGAAGCAGCUGGGAAACAAGGCUGUACCUGCUGGGGCUGACUGUGAUGGACUUGAGUGAUGUGGGAAGACCGAUGUUAACUGUGGAUGAGUCCAUUCUCUAGAAAGGAGCUGAGAAAGAGAGCUGAGCACCAGUGUGCCUCAGUUUUGCUUCCUGAUUGUAGAUGCUACUUCAAGUCCCUGCUACCUUCACUUCCUUUCUUGAUGUAUUUUACCACUGCAAUCUGAGGCCAAAUAAAUUCACUUAAAUUGCUUUUGUUAGAGAAGAAGAAAAUUAACUAUGAUAUUUGU
rnacentral:lncRNA from 1 species